rnacentral:rRNA from 1 species
CGGCGAGUGAAGCGGCAAGAGCUCAGAUUUGAAAUCGUGCUUUGCGGCACGAGUUGUAGAUUGCAGGUUGGAGUCUGUGUGGAAGGCGGUGUCCAAGUCCCUUGGAACAGGGCGCCCAGGAGGGUGAGAGCCCCGUGGGAUGCCGGCGGAAGCAGUGAGGCCCUUCUGACGAGUCGAGUUGUUUGGGAAUGCAGCUCCAAGCGGGUGGUAAAUUCCAUCUAAGGCUAAAUACUGGCGAGAGACCGAUAGCGAACAAGUACUGUGAAGGAAAGAUGAAAAGCACUUUGAAAAGAGAGUGAAACAGCACGUGAAAUUGUUGAAAGGGAAGGGUAUUGCGCCCGACAUGGGGAUUGCGCACCGCUGCCUCUCGUGGGCGGCGCUCUGGGCUUUCCCUGGGCCAGCAUCGGUUCUUGCUGCAGGAGAAGGGGUUCUGGAACGUGGCUCUUCGGAGUGUUAUAGCCAGGGCCAGAUGCUGCGUGCGGGGACCGAGGACUGCGGCCGUGUAGGUCACGGAUGCUGGGCAGAACGGCGCAACACCGCCCGUCUUGAAACACGG